rnacentral:rRNA from 1 species
CCUACGGGGGGCAGCAGUGAGGAAUAUUGGUCAAUGGGCGGAAGCCUGAACCAGCCAAGUAGCGUGCAGGAUGACGGCCCUACGGGUUGUAAACUGCUUUUAUACGGGAAUAACGCGCCUUACGUGUAGGGCUUUGCAUGUACCGUAUGAAUAAGGACCGGCUAAUUCCGUGCCAGCAGCCGCGGUAAUACGGAAGGUCCGGGCGUUAUCCGGAUUUAUUGGGUUUAAAGGGAGCGUAGGCCGCAAGUCAAGCGUGCUGUGAAAUGUCCGAGCUAAACCCGAGCCUUGCAGCGCGAACUGGCGAGCUUGAGUCCGCGGAAGGCAGGCGGAAUUCGUCGUGUAGCGGUGAAAUGCUUAGAUAUGACGAAGAACCCCGAUUGCGAAGGCAGCUUGCUGCAGCGGAACUGACGCUGAUGCUCGAAAGCGCGGGUAUCGAACAGGAUUAGAUACCCCUGUAGUC